CCCUUAGAUGUCCUGGGCUGCACGCGCGCUACACUGGCACAUUCAACGAGUACUUGCCUUAUCUGGAAGGAUUGGGUAUUCUUGUGAAAGUGUGCCGUGAUGGGGAUAGGUAAUUGAAAUUAUUUACCUUCAACGAGGAAUUCCUAGUAAGUGCAUGUCAUCAGCUUGCGCUGAUUACGUCCCUGCCCUUUGUACACACCGCCCGUCGCUCCUACCGAUUGAAUGUUCCGGUGAAUAAUCCGGACUGCUUUUAGGGGCUCGUGCCGCCUAGAAAGCAGGAAGUUUAGUGAACCUUAACAUUUAGAGGAAGGAGAAGUCGUAACA
rnacentral:rRNA from 1 species